UACAGAGGGUGCAGGCGUUAAUCGGAAUUACUGGGCGUAAAGCGUGCGUAGACGGUUGCGUAAGUCAGAUGUGAAAGCCCCGGGCUCAACCUGGGAAUUGCAUUUGAGACUGCGUAGCUAGGGUGCGGAAGAGGGAAGCGGAAUUUCCGGUGUAGCGGUGAAAUGCGUAGAUAUCGGAAGGAACACCAGUGGCGAAAGCGGCUUCCUGGUCCAGCACCGACGUCAGGCACGAAAGCGUGGGGAGCAAACAGG
rnacentral:rRNA from 1 species